rnacentral:rRNA from 1 species
CUUGGCACUAAGAGCCGAUGAAAGACGUGAUAAGCUGCGAAAAGCUUCGGGGAGGAGCAAAUAUCCCGUGAUCCGGAGAUGUCUGAAUGGGGAAACCCGCAUGAGAAGACCUCAUGCAUCCAUACGCCAAUCCAUAACGUAUGGAAGGGAACCCGGGGAACUGAAACAUCUAAGUACCCGGAGGAAAAGAAAGAAACAUCGAUUCCGUAAGUAGCGGCGAGCGAACGCGGAGGAGCCUAAACCGGUGUGCGUGCAUGCCGGGGUCAUGGACUGCAUUUAAGAUUCAGUAAGGUUAACAGAACGGUUUUGGGAAAGCCGGCCAGAGAGGGUGAAAGCCCCGUACGUGAAAACCAAGCUGACUGAGCAGGAUCCGGAGUACCACGAGACACGAGGAACCUUGUGGGAAGUAAGGGGGACCACCCCCUAAGGCUAAAUACUACUUAGUGACCGAUAGCGCAUAGUACUGUGAAGGAAAGGUGAAAAGGACCCCGGGAGGGGAGUGAAAGAGAACCUGAAACCCUGUGUCUACAAGCUGUGGAAGUGCCAUAUGAGCACAACCGCGUACUUUUUGUAGAACGGUCCGGCGAGUUACGCUUACUGGCAAGGUUAAGUCCUCAAGGGAUGGAGCCGAAGGGAAACCAAGUCUUAACAGGGCCAGAGUCAGUAGGAGUAGACCCGAAACCGGGUGAUCUAUCCAUGUCCAGGUUGAAGCUGCCGUAAGAGGUAGUGGAGGACCGAACCCACAUCCGUUGAAAAGGGUGGGGAUGAGGUGUGGAUAGGGGAGAAAUUCCAAUCGAACCCGGAGAUAGCUGGUUCUCCUCGAAAUAGCUUUAGGGCUAGCCUCGGUGUGAGUCUUGCGGAGGUAGAGCACUGAAUUUCCUAGGGGGCGUCAAAGCCUACCGAAGAAUAUCAAACUCCGAAUGCCGUGUAGAUAUCACCGGGAGUCAGACUGCACGAGAUAAGUUGGGCGGUCAAAAGGGAAAGAGCCCAGACCUACAGUUAAGGUCCCAAAGUGCGCGUUAAGUGGAAAAGGAUGUGGGAUUUCGAAGACAACCAGGAUGUUGGCUCAGAAGCAGCCAUACAUUCAAAGAGUGCGUAAUAGCUCACUGGUCGAGAGGUCCUGCGCCGAAAAUGUCCGGGCUGAAACGCGCCACCGAAACUAAGGAAUCCGUAAGGAUUGGUAGAGGAGCAUUGCAUAUGGGAAGAAGCAGUACCGUAAGGAGCUGUGGACUAUAUGGAAGAGAGAAUGCCGGAAUGAGUAGCGAGAUAGAGGUGGGAAUCCUCUAGGCCGAAUAUCCAAGGUUUCCAGGGUAAAGCUGAUCUGCCUGGGUGAGUCGGGACCUAAGGUGAGGGCGAGAGCCGUAGCCGAUGGACAACAGGUUGAUAUUCCUGUACUGCAGUAUAACAGAACUGUGGGGACACGUAAGGAGAGCGGGAGCCGGGAAUGGAAAGCCCGGUACAAGCGAGGUACCAGUAUGGUAGGAAAAUCCGCCAUGCAAUGGGAAGACGUGAUGUGGAGUGAAAUAUAGUAACGAAGCCCGUGAGCCAUGCGUCAAGAAAAGCCGCUAUUGUUUAUAUUGUACCCGUACCGUAAACCGACACAGGUGGAUGAGGAGAGAAUCCUAAGGCCGGCGGAAGAAGUAUUGCCAAGGAACUCGGCAAAAUGGCCCCGUAACUUAGGGAGAAGGGGUGCCUGCGAGAGCAGGCCGCAGAGAAUAGGCUCAAGCAACUGUUUAGCAAAAACACAGGUCUAUGCGAAACCGAAAGGUGAGGUAUAUGCUGACGCCUGCCCGGUGCUGGAAGGUUAAGAGGAGAGGUUAGACAUACGUCGAAGCUUUGAAUUUAAGCCCCAGUAAACGGCGGCCGUAACUAUAACGGUCCUAAGGUAGCGAAAUUCCUUGUCGGGUAAGUUCCGACCCGCACGAAAGGCGUAAUGAUUUGAGCGCUGUCUCGGCAAUACAUCCGGUGAAAUUGAAGUGCCAGUGAAGAUGCUGGCUACCCGCGCCAGGACGGAAAGACCCCAUGGAGCUUUACUCCAGUUUGGCACUGGGGUCCGGUGUUGCAUGUACAGGAUAGGUGGGAGGCUGAGAGAUAGUGACGUCAGUUGCUAUGGAGCCGCUGUUGGGAUACCACCCUUGUGAUAUUGGGCUUCUAACCAGCCGCCGU